GCACACCAUGCAUGUUUCUUCUGGGUGGAAGGGGAAAGUGCACGUAAGUGCAUUAUCGAUUAUAAAGUACAGUGGAAAGGACUGACACACAUUAGCUUGGAUCUUUGCUUCAUGGCAGCAUCUUUGCUCGAUCAAUUGCAUGGAUCCGCAUGUGUGACUAUGAUGUGUCACUAUUUAUGCUGUAGUGGCCCGUGAUGUGGGCAUCUGAAAAAUUCGGUGAAAGUUUAAUCUGGCACUGAGGAAUCUGAUUUAACAAGAAGCGAACGAAAAAGUGCCUGGGCCGCCUGCCCCCGAAGUCCACACUAGCUAGCCACUGGCCCUAGCAGAGAGCGGCAUAUCCAUCGCCUCACUUUCGCCUCGGCUAAAAUAAUGAAAGACUGGAUUACUUAACUGGGAAGAGAGUGCGUACCUGUGGGACAAGAAGAAAAAAAAAGGAAAAAAGGAAGAUGAGAACAAGGAUGAAGUGUCAUCAGAAACCGUAGCAGAUAUAACUAUUCCGUGAUGGGUUCUUGAGACCGGCAUGCAGCUGUAUCCCAAUCUGGCCAGAUAUAUUGCCACUAAAGAACAAGUACGACACAAUGGCUAUGCCGGACCAAUCACUGGCCGUUUUCGCCUUUAGGAUAUGAUUACGGAGUAAAAUACAAAUGUGUGGAAGCAACCAUGGAACGGAGGCAGCACCCGGGAGGAAGCCAUGCACAAAUCAUGGCACGCAUGACAGAACGCAGCUAGCGGCUAAAGAGUCAGGGGGGGAUCGAUGCGGAGAACGACCGAGUGAGUAGGCAGACAAAAGAGUACAACUGUACGUACGUACAGGUUCAGUGCACGGCGAGGAGUCCACCCGGGUGACAGGGGAGCAACGCCCGGAAAGGCAAACGGAGAAAAGGAAAGGGGGAAAGGGAGGAGGAUCCCGGCCCCGGCCCCGGACGGGACGAGAGGAAAAAGGACCGAAAGCGACGGCCACACGGCACACACACACGCGCG
rnacentral:lncRNA from 1 species